rnacentral:piRNA from 1 species
UCACUUUGUAGACCAGGCUGGCCUCGGUA